UGAUUUUUUUUGUUAUCACGACCAGCAUUUAUCUCAGAGGAUUUUAACCGAAUCUGAUUGCUGUUUUUUCGAAUCAUUAUGCAUUUCUUUAAGCUAUAUUCUAAAACCAUUUCAAAUUUUUUACCCCUACUCCAUAAACCUUAAAUAUGUACAUACUUUUGAUUUUCAAAAAGAACUCUACCCCCUCUCCUUUGAAUACAAACUUUUCUAUUCCUGUUCU